AUUGAACGCUGGCGGCAGGCCUAACACAUGCAAGUCGAACGAGUGGCGGACGGGUGAGUAAUGUCUGGGAAACUGCCUGAUGGAGGGGGAUAACUACUGGAAACGGUAGCUAAUACCGCAUACCAUCGGAUGUGCCCAGAUGGGAUUAGCUAGUAGGGGGGGUAAAGGCUCACUUAGGCGACGAUCCCUAGCUGGUCUGAGAGGAUGACCAGCAAAACUGGAACUGGAACACGGGCCCGACCCCUACGGGAGGAAGCAGUGGGGAAGAUUGCACAAGGGGGGAAAGCCUGAUGCCGCCAUGCCGCGUGGAUGAAGAAGGCCUUCGGGUUGUAAAGUACUUUAAGCGGGGAGGCGUUACCCGCAGAAGAAGCACCGGCUAACUCCGUGCCAGCAGCCGCGGUAAUAC
rnacentral:rRNA from 1 species